rnacentral:rRNA from 1 species
AAUAGAUACCCCGGUAGUCCACGCCGUAAACGAUGAGUGCUAAGUGUUAGGGGGUUUCCGCCCCUUAGUGCUGCAGCUAACGCAUUAAGCACUCCGCCUGGGGAGUACGGUCGCAAGACUGAAACUCAAAGGAAUUGACGGGGGCCCGCACAAGCGGUGGAGCAUGUGGUUUAAUUCGAAGCAACGCGAAGAACCUUACCAGGUCUUGACAUCCCAUUGACCGCUAUGGAGACAUAGCUUUCCCUUCGGGGACAGUGGUGACAGGUGGUGCAUGGUUGUCGUCAGCUCGUGUCGUGAGAUGUUGGGUUAAGUCCCGCAACGAGCGCAACCCUUGUUCUUAGUUGCCAUCAUUUAGUUGGGCACUCUAAGGAGACUGCCGGUGACAAACCGGAGGAAGGUGGGGAUGACGUCAAAUCAUCAUGCCCCUUAUGACCUGGGCUACACACGUGCUACAAUGGACGGUACAAACGGUUGCCAACCCGCGAGGGGAGCUAAUCCGAUAAAACCGUUCUCAGUUCGGAUUGUAGACUGCAACUCGCCUAC